rnacentral:tRNA from 1 species
GCCCCGGUAGCUCAGCCGGAUAGAGCACCAGAUUCCUAAUCUGGGGGUCCCAUGUUCGAAUCAUGGUCGGGGCGCCA